CCUACGGGUGGCAGCAGUGAGGGAUAUUGGUCAAUGGGGGAAACCCUGAACCAGCAACGCCGCGUGAGGGAAGACGGUUUUCGGAUUGUAAACCUCUGUCCUCUGUGAAGAUAAUGAAGGUGGCAGAGGAGGAAGAUCCGGCUAACUACAAGCCAGCAGCCGCGGUAAUACGUAGGGAGAGAGCGUUGUCCGGAUUUACGGGGGGUAAAGGGUGCGCAGGCGGCGCUGCAAGUCAGAAGUGAAAUCCAUGGGCUUAACCCGUGAACUGCUUUUGAAACUGCAGGACUAGAGUGGAGUAGAGGUAGGCGGAAUUCCCGGUGUAGCGGUGAAAUGCGUAGAGAUCGAGAGGAACACGAGUGGCGAAGGCGGCCUACUGGGCUUUAACUGACGCUGAGGCACGAAAGCGUGGGUAGCGAAAGGGAUUAGAUACCCGUGUAGUC
rnacentral:rRNA from 1 species